rnacentral:rRNA from 1 species
AUACGGAGGAUGCGAGCGUUAUCCGGAUUUAUUGGGUUUAAAGGGAGCGUAGGUGGGAUAUUAAGUCAGCUGUGAAAGUUUGGGGCUCAACCUUAAAAUUGCAGUUGAUACUGGUUUCCUUGAGUACGGUACAGGUGGGCGGAAUUCGUGGUGUAGCGGUGAAAUGCUUAGAUAUCACGAAGAACUCCGAUCGCGAAGGCAGCUCACCGGGCCGGAACUGACACUGAUGCUCGAAAGUGCGGGUAUCAAACAGGAUUAGAUACCCUGGUAGUCCGCACAGUAAACGAUGAAUACUCGCUGUUUGCGAUAUACAGUAAGUGGCACAGCGAAAGCGUUAAGUAAUCCACCUGGGGAGUACGCCGGCAACGGUGAAACUUAAAGGAAUUGACGGGG